GACGAACGCUGGCGGCGUGCCUAAUACAUGCAAGUUGAGCGCUGAAGGUUGGUACUUGUACCCACUGGAUGAGCAGCGAACGGGUGAGUAACGCGUGGGGAAUCUGCCUUUGAGCGGGGGACAACAUUUGGAAACGAAUGCUAAUACCGCAUAAAAACUUUAAACACAAGUUUUAAGUUUGAAAGAUGCAAUUGCAUCACUCAAAGAUGAUCCCGCGUUGUAUUAGCUAGUUGGUGAGGUAAAGGCUCACCAAGGCGAUGAUACAUAGCCGACCUGAGAGGGUGAUCGGCCACAUUGGGACUGAGACACGGCCCAAACUCCUACGGGAGGCAGCAGUAGGGAAUCUUCGGCAAUGGACGAAAGUCCGACCGAGCAACGCCGCGUGAGUGAAGAAGGGUUUCGGAUCGUAAAACUCGGUUGGUAGAGAAGAACGUUGGUGAGAGUGGAAAGCUCAUCAAGUGACGGUAACUACCCAGAAAGGGACGGCUAACUACGUG
rnacentral:rRNA from 1 species